GAUGAACGCUGGCGGCGUGCCUAAUACAUGCAAGUAGAACGCUGAAGCUUGGUGCUUGCACCGAGCGGAUGAGUUGCGAACGGGUGAGUAACGCGUAGGUAACCUGCCUCUUAGCGGGGGAUAACUAUUGGAAACGAUAGCUAAUACCGCAUAAAAGUCGAUAUCGCAUGAUAUUGAUUUGAAAGGUGCAAUUGCAUCACUAAGAGAUGGACCUGCGUUGUAUUAGCUAGUUGGUGAGGUAACGGCUCACCAAGGCGACGAUACAUAGCCGACCUGAGAGGGUGAUCGGCCACACUGGGACUGAGACACGGCCCAGACUCCUACGGGAGGCAGCAGUAGGGAAUCUUCGGCAAUGGACGGAAGUCUGACCGAGCAACGCCGCGUGAGUGAAGAAGGUUUUCGGAUCGUAAAGCUCUGUUGUAAGAGAAGAACGAGUGUGAGAGUGGAAAGUUCACACUGUGACGGUAACUUACCAGAAAGGGACGGCUAACUACGUGCCAGCAGCCGCGGUAAUACGUAGGUCCCGAGCGUUAUCCGGAUUUAUUGGGCGUAAAGCGAGCGCAGGCGGUUAGAUAAGUCUGAAGUUAAAGGCUGUGGCUUAACCAUAGUACGCUUUGGAAACUGUUUAACUUGAGUGCAGAAGGGGAGAGUGGAAUUCCAUGUGUAGCGGUGAAAUGCGUAGAUAUAUGGAGGAACACCGGUGGCGAAAGCGGCUCUCUGGUCUGUAACUGACGCUGAGGCUCGAAAGCGUGGGGAGCAAACAGG
rnacentral:rRNA from 1 species